CUCAAAUUGAAUAUCCAAGUCUAUAAAGAUAAUACAAGUCUGUAUUACUAAGGAGAAGAAGCAGAACAAGAGAGUAAUAGGGCAGGCAGCAGGCCACCCAUACUAGCUUCUCCACUACUACUAAUAAAAGCACCACAUUUAGGCAAAGCAGAAUGGAUGGUGAGGAUAGUGCCAGUAGAUGACACAGGCAGGUUGGACAGGAACUGUUGGACUCCUCAUCAUUAAAAAAGAAAAAAAGUUUCUAAAGAAGCCAUCAUCACAUCAAGAUACAGAUCAGAGGGACUGGGACUGAGCUUUACCGGAGAGAAGCAUCCAACACAGGGUCCACUUGCCUGCUGUUUUUAAAGGUUUUUUUUGUGAAU